GGCACCUGUCUAACUUUCAGUAUAAUAAAAUACCUACCUACUUAAUUUAAAUAAUAAUAAUAAAUAAAAAACAUUGUCGAAGACGCGGACGAUUGCGCGACGACCGUGAAAAAUUAAAUAAUAUACGCACACGCGCGUUCAGUUAGUUUUGGUUCGGCCACAGUCAUGAUGGGCCGACAACAGCGAUCGUCGAUCUAUGACGCGAUUCCAGCGCUGUGCUUGAUCGUGACGAUUUGCCUCGUAGCGACGACGACCACCUCGAGAACGACUACGACUACGACGACGACGACGACGACCGCCGCCGCCGCCGACUCAUCGUUGGUCGCACGCGACCGGUCACCGGGUGGUUCGACCGAGACUAGAACCGCGGUCGCCGACCACAACCACAGGCACCGUCGGUACAUCAUCUUGACGCCCGUGCGGCAACAACAGCAGUCUUUGUCGGUAAAAUCGCAAAAAACACUCGUCCGUAUGCGGACGUUCGACCAGAAGUACGGUAAGCUGUCGCCAUACCAUAUGCGAAAGAUUGACCGCAACAACCGCUUAUGACCACGGCGGUCGUACAACCGCAACGAUAUUGAUCGUCGGGACGAUCGGACGAUACCCAAUCGCGAUUUCAUGUCGUAUGUACUGCAGAUAUACACGCACGGCGACCAUUUGCCGAUGAUGAUAAAUAAUUAUAAUUGCCUAUAAUUAAUAAAACAUUAUUUAAACGGCUGAUGGUACGCUGCGAUGAUGCCGACGCGGUGAGCCUGCUGCAACAGGUUGCAGACACUUUCAAACGUCUCAUUUGUAGUAAAGCUUCGUCUUAGAUGUACCAAAAAGAAAUUCAAAGUCAUCAACUUCAUAGCUCAAAUUUAUCAGCUCCAGCAGGUUGUUAACCUUUUUUCUGUUUUUUUUUUUUUAUUAUAGAAUAUAUAGAAAAUCUGUACAUAUACAAUACAAUAAGUUAAACUUAAAAGUAAUGUUAAAAUAAUUAAACGUAUUUUCCUUGUGUACAGGGCCACCACUUCAAAAUGUGUUUUUUAUCUGAAAAACUGUAUAAUAUGUCUUUUUCAUUUUUGCCAAGUAUUCACAGAUUAGAUACGUAUCAAUAUAUUGUUAUUAUAUUAUUAUUAUGUUAAAUUAUUUUACACAAAACCUUACUAAAUCAUACUCAAACAAUUGUUAGUUAUGAAGUAGCUGGUACCUAUGUUUAUCGAUUUGUAUUUUCAUGUGUCUUAUUAUUUUUAAAAA